rnacentral:rRNA from 1 species
CCGAGCAACGCCGCGUGAGUGAAGAAGGUUUUCGGAUCGUAAAGCUCUGUUGUAAGUCAAGAACGAGUGUGAGAGUGGAAAGUUCACACUGUGACGGUAGCUUACCAGAAAGGGACGGCUAACUACGUGCCAGCAGCCGCGGUAAUACGUAGGUCCCGAGCGUUGUCCGGAUUUAUUGGGCGUAAAGCGAGCGCAGGCGGUUUGAUAAGUCUGAAGUUAAAGGCUGUGGCUCAACCAUAGUUCGCUUUGGAAACUGUCAAACUUGAGUGCAGAAGGGGAGAGUGGAAUUCCAUGUGUAGCGGUGAAAUGCGUAGAUAUAUGGAGGAACACCGGUGGCGAAAGCGGCUCUCUGGUCUGUAACUGACGCUGAGGCUCGAAAGCGUGGGGAGCGAACAGGAUUAGAUACCCUGGUAGUCCACGCCGUAAACGAUGAGUGCUAGGUGUUGGAUCCUUUCCGGGAUUCAGUGCCGCAGCUAACGCAUUAAGCACUCCGCCUGGGGAGUACGACCGCAAGGU